AAACAUGUUUACUUCAAGCAAACCGAGCCUUUUCAAAAUACGUACAAACUGUAAUUCAAUCAAUUCCUUUCAAGCCGUCGCUACAAUUAGGCAGUUGGUAGGAAGGUAUCAAGUUCCUGAAGAAAGAUACCACCAUCAUUGUUUAUUGAAUGAAAACAUUAUGGUAGAGGUACACGGCAAUAAUUGGAUACAUUUCGAUGUUUCUGGCUACAUCGAAAUCGGUUACGAUAAUAUCAACGUUGAGAACGAUGAAGUUGGAACGUCUAUAAACAGCCUACAGGAGCCUACAAAUGAGAAACAGCCAUUUGACGAGGUUAUCAAAAAGUGAGCUGUAAAAACAUACCAAACCCUCAAGGGCUGAACAGUAUAUUAACAAUUUUGAGCAAGAGAACAAGCUAUAGACUUCCCAAAGAUGCGCAUACUUUGCUGGGAACAAUGCAAAGUGGAAACGAAUUAGUUCCUACAGCAGGGGGACAACUUUGGUACCCGUGAGUACGAACGGUGCUGUACAGAUAUUUUUGCAAUGUGCAACCAAGAGUGAGUUCAUUCUCAGUGAACUUCUUACUGGAUGUACUUCUACUGAAAAGGAAGACACGGAAAUAGUUUUGGCCAAUUAUGACGAAUAUUCAAGAAAUGCCCGUUAUCAUCGUUAAGUGGUCGUUAAGUGGAGCAUGUUAAAAACACGCUCCAAUACGGUCAUAAAGUUUUGGUGCAAGCUGCAAACAGUAUGACAGAGCAAUCGCUGCAAUCACCUGAUUGUGAAUGUCCCGCAUUCCAAUAUUUAAAAUCCAAACACGAAGUGAGAUUGUAUGUUAAUUAUAGCCUUGGUCUUUACCCAGGUAUGCAAAAUAAUUGAUUUUUAUCCAAAGAUUUUCACAUUGUUCUGUAUAAUAGUGCACAACAGGAUGAACCAAACAUACAUAUUUAUGGUAAAACAUUUAGCAAAAUAACAGAAUCCUAUAGUUCCAUUAUUCGCCCAAGAUGAAGGAUUUAUAUGAGAUAAAUAUUUGUGAUCUUUCCAAACAAAUGAUAAUAUUUAUUAUCACAGAUAUAAAAUGUAAAUUAGUACCCAUUGAAACUAACAACACUAGCUUGGUAUUUGUUCCUCUUCUGCAGAUUGCACAUUGACGGAAUAGACUUUUUUUAACAAAUGAACGGGUGAAUCUGGGAGUAAAAUCGUUUAUAAUUGAAAGCUAUAAAGUUGAUUGCAUUAUCAGUGAAGUAUUCCAUUUUUAUGAGAAGUGAUAUAGAAUAUAAUAAUUUACUUUCUGGUGUUGAUUUUUAGCUGAAUAAGGAACUUAAGCUUAAAAAUAGCUUCAAUUCAAUUGUGUUGUUCUUAGCACAACGUUAAGAACAUUUGGCGACAUACUGGAAAAGUGGACAUGUGUAAGUGUUCUGUUCUACAACGGACGACUGUUGCUCCUAGGUUUUUUUGACGAAAAAAUUGGCAAAGGUCACAUUUAAAGCAGGCUUAAAAGUAGGAACAAUUGAUGCGCCAUUUCUACUUGACAAGAUUAAUUUUACAGUCCCUCGCCUAAAAUCUUGACACCAUAGAAUGCUGGAUGAAACUAAGCAUACCAAGCUAUAACCAUAACUAAAAUACCUAUGAGCGUAACGACGCAACGGCUGAACGAGUAUUUUUUUUACUCUGGGUACUAGGACGUAUAGGCAUAAGAUUAAUGAUGAUUAUAUAUAGGUAUAAGAUGACUGAAAUAAGUGUAAUUUGGUGCUUUCGGUGGCGUACAGAAAGUAUUUUUACGGGUUUUUAAACAAAAAUAAACCAAAAAGUGAUAAGAAAUGUCUCCACAUUUUUAGUAUGUGCAUAUUUCGUUAUAUAUGGAAUAUAAAACUUACUAUUGUCAUAUUUGGUCCGCCUAUAGUCAUAAUUGCGUCUCUUACGCUGUAUAAAAAUUGUGUUCA